ensembl:lncRNA
GCGGCAGGGUAGCCUAGUGGUUAGAGUGUAGAGGCGGCAGGGUAGCCUAGUGGUUAGAGUGUAGAGGUGGCAGGGUAGCCUAGUGGUUAGAGUGUAGAGGUGGCAGGGUAGCCUAGUGGUUAGAGUGUAGAGGCGGCAGGGUAGCCUAGUGGUUAGAGUGUAGAGGUGGCAGGGUAGCCUAGUGGUUAGAGUGUAGAGGUGGCAGGGUAGCCUAGUGGUUAGAGUGUAGAGGCGGCAGGGUAGCCUAGUGGUUAGAGCGUUGGACUAGUAACCGGAAGGUUGCAAGUGCAACUCCCCGACAUGACAAGGUACAAAUCUGUCGUUCUGCCCCUGAACAGGCAGGUAACCCACUGUUCCUAGGGGGAAAACAAGAAUUUGUUCUUAACUGACUUGCCUA